UACGUAGGGCGCAAGCGUUGUCCGGAAUUAUUGGGCGUAAAGAGCUCGUAGGCGGUUUGUCGCGUCUGCUGUGAAAUCCCGAGGCUCAACCUCGGGCUUGCAGUGGGUACGGGCAGACUAGAGUGCGGUAGGGGAGACUGGAAUUCCUGGUGUAGCGGUGGAAUGCGCAGAUAUCAGGGGGGAACACCGAUGGGCGAAGGCAGGUCUCUGGGCCGC
rnacentral:rRNA from 1 species